GAUGUAUUCAUAAAACCAAACCGAACCACUCACUCAAACUAACUGCAGAACCAGGAGGUUUCUCCGCGUGAAAACACACUUCAACUAACAAAAAAACUACUUAUUUCACAAGUUCUUGAAGAGAAAAACACGAGCAGGAAAGAAGAAGAAGAAGAAGUGUGAACUUCAGAUAUGAGCUCUUACCUCGCAGUGUGGCUCCGUGGACAAACGGCAGACCAAGGUUAGCUGUGGUGGCAUCACAGGUUCCUGACGUCAGUGUUCGACUCCAGCUUCUCUGCUCCCUUCACGUGUGGACGGUGCAGGACACGCGGACUGACCGACAGACGGGACUGAGCUGGGGACCUUUUGGUGGCUGUGACUCCGGAAGAAAAGCGGUUCAUCCACUAACUAGAAGUGUAUACUCCAUUAACACCUGAGGCUAGAGAGCAGGGAGGAGACAAGUCAAGACGCCAGAGGAAAUUCCACUAAAUGAAGAGCUUGAGAAAGCGAUUAUUUUGCCACUCAGGAGGACGAGUGUCACAUUGUUGAUCCUCUGUGUCUCCCUGACGACGGCUGUCACGUCGAGGUGUCAGAAACCCUGAACGACACCAGUAAUCUCGUCUCAGAACAAAAGCAGCAGCAUAUCAGGACCUGCCUGAAUC